rnacentral:rRNA from 1 species
GACAGAGGGGGCAAGCGUUGCUCGGAAUCACUGGGCGUAAAGGGCGCGUAGGCGGGAUGACAAGUCGGUCGUGAAAUCCCUGGGCUCAACUCAGGGGGGUCGGCCGAUACUGCCAUUCUUGAGGGAUGCAGAGGAGACUGGAAUUCCCGGUGUAGCGGUGAAAUGUGUAGAGAUCGGGAGGAACACCGGUGGCGAAGGCAGGUCUCUGGGCAUUAACUGACGCUGAGGAGCGAAAGCAUGGGGAGCGAACAGG